GGCAGGGUGGCGUAGUGGUUAUCGCGUCUGCCUGGUGAGCAGGAGACCUGGGUUCAAAUCCCAACCUUGGUA